rnacentral:rRNA from 1 species
UGGCUCAGAUUGAACGCUGGCGGCAGGCCUAACACAUGCAAGUCGAGCGGAAACGAUCCUAGCUUGCUAGGAGGCGUCGAGCGGCGGACGGGUGAGUAAUGCAUAGGAAUCUGCCCGGUAGUGGGGGAUAACUUGAGGAAACUCAAGCUAAUACCGCAUACGCCCUACGGGGGAAAGCAGGGGCUCUUCGGACCUUGCGCUAUCGGAUGAGCUUAUGUCGGAUUAGCUGGUUGGUGAGGUAACGGCUCACCAAGGCGACGAUCCGUAGCUGGUCUGAGAGGAUGAUCAGCCACAUCGGGACUGAGACACGGCCCGAACUCCUACGGGAGGCAGCAGUGGGGAAUAUUGGACAAUGGGGGCAACCCUGAUCCAGCCAUGCCGCGUGUGUGAAGAAGGCCCUCGGGUUGUAAAGCACUUUCAGCGAGGAAGAAUGCUUGUCGGUUAAUACCCGGCAAGGGAGACAUCACUCGCAGAAGAAGCACCGGCUAACUCCGUGCCAGCAGCCGCGGUAAUACGGAGGGUGCGAGCGUUAAUCGGAAUUACUGGGCGUAAAGCGUGCGUAGGCGGCUUGAUAAGCCGGUUGUGAAAGCCCCGGGCUCAACCUGGGAACGGCAUCCGGAACUGUUAGGCUAGAGUGCAGGAGAGGAAGGUAGAAUUCCCGGUGUAGCGGUGAAAUGCGUAGAGAUCGGGAGGAAUACCAGUGGCGAAGGCGGCCUUCUGGACUGACACUGACGCUGAGGUACGAAAGCGUGGGUAGCAAACAGGAUUAGAUACCCUGGUAGUCCACGCCGUAAACGAUGUCGACUAGCCGUUGGGGUCCUCGAGACCUUUGUGGCGCAGUUAACGCACUAAGUCGACCGCCUGGGGAGUACGGCCGCAAGGUUAAAACUCAAAUGAAUUGACGGGGGCCCGCACAAGCGGUGGAGCAUGUGGUUUAAUUCGAUGCAACGCGAAGAACCUUACCUACCCUUGACAUCGUGCGAACUUUCCAGAGAUGGAUUGGUGCCUUCGGGAGCGCACAGACAGGUGCUGCAUGGCUGUCGUCAGCUCGUGUUGUGAAAUGUUGGGUUAAGUCCCGUAA